UACGUAGGGUGCAAGCGUUGUCCGGAAUUAUUGGGCGUAAAGAGCUCGUAGGCGGUUUGUUGCGUCGGCUGUGAAAUCCCGAGGCUCAACCUCGGGUCUGCAGUCGAUACGGGCAGACUAGAGUGCGGUAGGGGAGACUGGAAUUCCUGGUGUAGCGGUGAAAUGCGCAGAUAUCAGGAGGAACACCGGUGGCGAAGGCGGGUCUCUGGGCCGUAACUGACGCUGAGGAGCGAAAGCGUGGGGAGCGAACAGG
rnacentral:rRNA from 1 species